ACAAAUACGAUGUCUACUUGUGUAAAAACCACUGACCUUGAAGCUUCCUCACCAUUAAGUGAGAUAGACCAAGAUCAUAAAACCAUCUAAGAGGAAAGGAAAUGCAAAAAGGACCAAUCCAAUUACACAUCUCGGUUAUUGGAAAAGGAUUUCUCCCAAACUCAAUCUGUGAUUUUUCACUACCAGGGUAAAUGGAUGACAUCAAGGUCUUCAAGUCUACGGGUUGAGCAGGUGGGAUCAAGCUGGCAAGAGGAGGAAGCUGUUGCUGUUAAAAUCUUCCGAGUCACUGACUGGGAAGUGAGGAGAAGAGGGGAGAAAGCUCUCAAAGUUAGGGUUCGGCUGCUCCUGUUUAUCCUAUUUAUUCUCUGUCCUGAAGAACCAGCUAGACUUUGCUGUGAUUAAUUGCAGAGGAAUCAGAAACUCCUGGAGGAGAGAGACCCAGGGGAAAGUUGGGGAAGCGCGGCUGAUCAACAGCAAAAAUCUGCCAAAAAAGUUCGAGAGAGCCGGGCGCGGUGGCUCAGCCUGUAAUCCCAGCACUUUGGGAGGCCGAGGCGGGCGGAUCACGAGGUCAGGAGAUCGAGACCAUCCUGGCUAACACGGUGAAACCCCAUCUCUACUAAAAAUACCAAAAAUUAGCCGGGCGCAGUGGCGGGCGCCUGUAGUCCCAGCUACUCGGGAGGCUGAGGCGGGAGAAUGGCAUGAACCCGGGAGGCGGAGCUUGCAGUGAGCCGAGAUCGCGCCACUGCACUCCAGCCUGGGUGACAGAGCAAGACUCCGUCUCAAAAAAAAAAAAAAAAAGUUCGAGAGCCCUCCACCACCUGUUCCUGGACCAAACUGAGCAUCAGGCUGCUAUUUCUCCUGGUCCAGUAAGGAGAUGCAGAUGAACUGGAGAGGAAGCGAGUUUUUAUUUCUGCAACCAGUUACAGGGAGAAGGCCUGGAAAUUAUCAUCAGACCAACUUAAAAUUACAAAGCUUUCCACAGCUUAUAUACCUUCUAAGCUAUAUGUCUACGUGUAAAUGUGCAUUCAUCUAAAGACAUACGUGAUUAACUCGCCGGGCGCGGUGGCUCAUGCCUGUAAUCCCAGUACUUUGGGAGGCUGAGGGGGGCGGAUCACGAGGUCAGGAGAUCGAGACCACGGUGAAACCCCAUCUCUACUAAAAAUACAAAAAAUUAGCUGGGCGCAGUGGAGGGCGCCUGUAGUCCCAGCUACUAGGGAGGCUGAGGCAAGAGAAUGGCGUGAACCUGGAAGGCGGAGCUUGCAGUGAGCCGAGAUCCCGCCACUGCACUCCAGCCUGGGCGAGCAAGGCUCCGUCUCAAAAAAAAAUAAUAAUAAUAAUAAUUGAUUAACUCACUUUAGUCUAUAACUAAGGUUUGAGUCCUGAAGACCUUCCUUUGAAGCCUCAGUAAAUUUACUUAAUCUAAAUGGCAAUAGGUGCUGGGGUGAUUACGCUUAUCUUGCCUCCUGCUAAAUCAUGGAGGUUUGGGAGUUACUUCAGAUCCCCAAUAAAAUUUGUUUAAUCCUAAA